GUAAGCUACUAAGAGCAAAUGGUGGAUGCCUUGGCUAGUAGAGGCGAUGAAAGACGUGCUAGGCUGCGAUAAGUCUCGGGGAGCCGUCAAGGGGCUUUGAUCCGGGAAUUUCUGAAUGGGGCAACCCAGUAUAUAGUGAUAUAUACUACCGCAAUGCGGAGCGAACGUUGGGAAUUGAAACAUCUUAGUACCAACAGGAAAAGAAAUCAAACGAGAUUACGCUAGUAGCGGCGAGCGAAAGCGUAAGAGGGCAAACCACUAGCUUGCUAGUGGGGUUGUAGGACUGCAAUAUAGACUUAAACAAUCUAAUAGAAUAAGCUGGAAAGCUUAAGCAUAGAGGGUGAUACUCCCGUAUAUGAAAGUGCGUUUAUACUUAGCAGUAUCCUGAGUAGGGCGGGACACGUGUAAUCCUGUCUGAAGCUGGGUAGACCACUAUCCAACCCUAAAUACUACUACUAGACCGAUAGUGCACAAGUACCGUGAGGGAAAGGUGAAAAGAACUGAGGUGAUCAGAGUGAAAUAGAACCUGAAACCAUUUGCUUACAAUCAUUCAGAGCCCUAUGAUUUAUCAGGGUGAUGGACUGCCUUUUGCAUAAUGAGCCUGCGAGUUGUGGUGUCUGGCAAGGUUAAGGAAACCCGGAGCCGUAGCGAAAGCGAGUCUUAAUAGGGCGUAUAGUCAGAUGCUGCAGACCCGAAACGAUGUGAUCUAUCCAUGAGCAGGUUGAAACCGGUGUAAGAGCCGGUGGAGGACCGAACAGACGGCCGUUGAAAAGGCUCCUGAUGACUUGUGGAUAGGGGUGAAAGGCCAAUCAAACAUCGUGAUAGCUGGUUCUCUCCGAAAUAUAUUUAGGUAUAGCGUUGUGUAGUAACUUUGUGAGGUAGAGCACUGAAUGGGCUAGGGCAUACACCAAUGUACCAAACCCUAUCAAACUCCGAAUGCGCAAAGUGUAAUCACAGCAGUCAGGCGGCGAGUGAUAAAAUCCGUCGUCAAGAGGGGAACAACCCAGACUAACAGCUAAGGUCCCUAAAUCUCAUUUAAGUGGAAAACGAUGUGAAGUUACUUUAACAACCAGGAGGUUGGCUUAGAAGCAGCCAUCCUUUAAAGAAAGCGUAAUAGCUCACUGGUCUAGUGAUUUCGCGCGGAAAAUAUAACGGGGCUAAAAUGAGUACCGAAGCUUUAGACUUAGUUUUUAACUAAGUGGUAGGAGAGCGUUCUAUUCAGCGUUGAAGGUAUACCGGUAAGGAGUGCUGGAGCGGAUAGAAGUGAGCAUGCAGGCAUGAGUAGCGAUAAAAGGGGUGAGAAUCCCCUUCGCCGUAAACCCAAGGUUUCCUACGCGAUGCUCGUCAUCGUAGGGUUAGUCGGGUCCUAAGCAAAGUCCAAAAGGGGUAUGCGAUGGAAAAUCGGUUAAUAUUCCGAUACCAAUAUUAGUGUGCGAUGGAAGGACGCUUAAAGUUAGUGGAGCUAGCGGAUGGAAGUGCUAGUCUAAGGAUGUAGAUUAAGUGGUAGGCAAAUCCGCCACUUUUUAUUCGAGAUCUUAAAGGCUCUCCAAAGUCUUCGGAUAGCGGGGAGAAUCCAUGAUACUAUCGAGCCAAGAAAAGUUUCUAAGUUUAGCUAAUAUUGCCCGUACCGUAAACCGACACAGGUGGGUGGGAUGAGUAUUCUAAGGCGCGUGGAAGAACUCUCUUUAAGGAACUCUGCAAAAUAGCACCGUAUCUUCGGUAUAAGGUGUGCCUAACUUUGUAUUAAGAUUUACUCCCAAAGCAAAGAAGGUUACAACAAAGAGUCCCUCCCGACUGUUUACCAUAAACACAGCACUCUGCUAACUCGUAAGAGGAUGUAUAGGGUGUGACGCCUGCCCGGUGCUCGAAGGUUAAUUGAUGGGGUUAGCAUUAGCGAAGCUCUUGAUCGAAGCCCGAGUAAACGGCGGCCGUAACUAUAACGGUCCUAAGGUAGCGAAAUUCCUUGUCGGUUAAAUACCGACCUGCAUGAAUGGCGUAACGAGAUGGGAGCUGUCUCAAAGAGGGAUCCAGUGAAAUUGUAGUGGAGGUGAAAAUUCCUCCUACCCGCGGCAAGACGGAAAGACCCCGUGGACCUUUACUACAGCUUGACACUGCUAUUUGGAUAAAGAUGCGCAGGAUAGGUGGGAGGCUUUGAUCCAUAGACUCCGGUUUAUGGUGAGCCAUUGUUGAGAUACCACUCUUCUUUAUUUGAGUAGCUAACUAGCUUGCGUUAUCCGCAAGUAGGACAAUGUCUGGUGGGUAGUUUGACUGGGGCGGUCGCCUCCCAAAAUGUAACGGAGGCUUACAAAGGUUGGCUCAGAACGGUUGGAAAUCGUUCGUAGAGUAUAAAGGCAUAAGCCAGCUUAACUGCAAGACAUACACGUCAAGCAGAGACGAAAGUCGGUCUUAGUGAUCCGGUGGUUCUGUGUGGAAGGGCCAUCGCUCAAAGGAUAAAAGGUACCCCGGGGAUAACAGGCUGAUCUCCCCCAAGAGCUCACAUCGACGGGGAGGUUUGGCACCUCGAUGUCGGCUCAUCGCAUCCUGGGGCUGGAGCAGGUCCCAAGGGUAUGGCUGUUCGCCAUUUAAAGCGGUACGCGAGCUGGGUUCAGAACGUCGUGAGACAGUUCGGUCCCUAUCUGCCGUGGGCGUAAGAAGAUUGAGGAGAGUUGACCCUAGUACGAGAGGACCGGGUUGAACCAGCCACUGGUGUAUCAGUUGUUCUGCCAAGAGCAUCGCUGAGUAGCUAAGCUGGGAUGCGAUAAGAGCUGAAAGCAUCUAAGCUCGAAGCCAACUCCAAGAUGAAUCUUCUUUUAAGAGCUCGGAAAGACUAUCCGUUUGAUAGGCUGGAUGUGUAAGUGAUGAGAGUCAUUUAGCUGACCAGUACUAAUAGCUCGUUUGCUUAUCUUU
rnacentral:rRNA from 1 species